GUAAUAUAGCAAUGAUGUAUGUUUGUGGUGAGUAUAAGGGUAAUAUAGCAAUGGUGUAUGUUUGUGGUGAGUGUAAGGGUAAUAUAGCAAUGGUGUAUGUAUGUGGUGAUUAUAAGGGUAAUAUAGCAAUAGUGUAUGUGGUGAGUGUAAGGGUAAUAUAGCAAUGGUGUAUGUGGUGAGUAUAAGGGUAAUAUAGCAAUGGUGUAUGUUUGUGUGAGUAUAAGGGUAAUAUAGCAAUGGUGUAUGUUUGUUGUGAGUAUAAGGGUAAUAUAGCAAUGGUAUAUUUGUGAUGAGUAUAAGGUAAUAUAGCAAUGGUGUAUGUUUGUGGUGAGUAUAAGGGUAAUAAGAGCAAUGGUGUAUGGUGUUGUUGUGAGUAUAAGGGUAAUAUAGCAAUGGUGUAUGUUUGUGAUGUGAGUAUAAGGGUAAUAUAGCAAUGGUGUAUGUUUGUGGUGAGUAUAAGGGUAAUAUAGCAAUGGUGUAUGUUUGUGGUGAGUAUAAGGGUAUUAUAGCAAUGGUGUAUGUUUGUUGUGAGUAUAAGGGUAAUAUAGCAAUGGUGUAUGUUUGUGGUGAG
rnacentral:lncRNA from 1 species